AGUGAUAGUGUUGUUACCUUACAAGUAGUGGAAGAGAAGUUUCGAUCACAAGCUGAGCAACCUAGCAAAGCCUCUACUCGUCCACACCGAACGGUUCUCCUCCGGUACCCGAUACUAACCAAGUAAUCAGAGGUUAGAGAGAAGAGAGUGCUCUUUUGUUUUUCUCAAAAACCAAAGUGUGACUGACUAUGGCACAAGGGUUCUAUUUAUAGAACCUCUUUGUAUGCUCUCCAAGUCAAGUGAUAGUGGAC
rnacentral:lncRNA from 1 species